AGAACUCGCGCGAGUCGGUUAGCGCUGGCGCCUCUUCGCUGGUUCCCUUCUCUUCGCCCUUCUCUUCAGUUUAUCAUGUCCGUACUCCAAAGAACAAAUUGUUGAAAACAGCGUGUCACUUUUUAGGAUUGUCAUGGUUAGAUAUAAAAUACCUGGCUUGGCCGGGUGUACCCGCAAAUUUCAAGAUGGCAACGAAGUCUAUCCUGCGCUGUCUGCUUGUACUGAUCGCAUGUGCUUCAAUUCUACCUAUGAAAGGACAAGAGGGAAUGGCAGAUGCUUACGCAUAUCCUUCGUGGCUCGGGAAUCGUACCGCACCGAUACGAUGCAGGAAGAACGAGGAAUACAAGGUGUGCCAGAGCGGCAGUUGCGGCGAGUAGGAUUGUUGGUUCCUGUAUAGAGGCUGGCCGAUUGGAUGCACAGUGGACUGCCUAAGCAAAUGUUUCUGUAAGCACGGUUGCUUUAGGAAUAACAAAAAUAAAUGUGUGAAAGGGUGUAAAUGCUUCAAAGAGCACACCAUGUACAAGUCUAAGGUCUUCGAUUAAUGCUCAAGACACGCUGCAAGGACUUCAGUCCGAAGCCAUACACGUGAGGGAGGCGAUCGAUUGGGUUGAUACAAAAAUGGAGGAAGAAAAAGAAAUGAAAAUGAACAAUAUUCCAUUCUUCACUGAAGAACGAUGUAUAUCAAGAAGAACUACAUAUUUGUUCAAUAAAGAUAAUUAUGAUUUGUGGCAA